rnacentral:rRNA from 1 species
GACUGCAGCCUGCAACCCGGCUGCACGAAGCCGGAAUCGCUAGUAAUCGCGGAUCAGAACGCCGCGGUGAAUACGUUCCCGGGUCUUGUACACACCGCCCGUCACACCAUGGGAGCCUGGAAUGCCCGAAGCCGGUGGCCGAACCGAGAGGGCGGAGCCGCCUAAGGCAGGCCCGGUGACUGGGGUGAAGUCGUAACAAGGUACC